CUGCUUCUAUAUGAGACACAUUACUACGUGGAAGAGGAAAUUGGGCUUAUCUCCGCCAAAAAGGAAUUACACUUAUCAAUUUCAAUUUUUCAACUAAUCUUUUAUCGUAAAAAAUGACGCCGUCCCGCUCACUGCUUCUUCUCGGUACCGUAUUCGUUAUCGUCCUGGCUAUAAUUUCGGCCGCACAAUCCGCUCCGCAUAAUGACUGCGAUUGUCACUACCAGACGGACAAGGGGGGCUGCGUGAUCACGAGGGUCCUGCCGCUGCCGGAUUUAAAUGCAGGUGUCGCUUUCCCGAUUUUUCUUAAUUACGCACUGCAUCGGAACCAGGAUUGGCUGUAAUGCGGAGCGAACUUUGUCCAGCGAAUUGCGCAUCGAAGGAUUGUUGUUUGCUGGCUAAUGGAAAUUGCGACGGAUAUUAAGUAAAUAGCUAACAAAUUAAUGUAAUGUUAACAAUUAAUUAAUUAAUUGAUCAAUUAAAAAUAAAAUAAAUAAAAAGUUAAAAAGUUUACAAAUAAA